rnacentral:rRNA from 1 species
CCUACGGGUGGCAGCAGUGGGGAAUAUUGGACAAUGGGCGAAAGCCUGAUCCAGCCAUGCCGCGUGUGUGAAGAAGGCCUUCGGGUUGUAAAGCACUUUCAGUGGGGAAGAAAGCCUUGGGGCUAAUACCCUCGAGGAAGGACAUCACCCACAGAAGAAGCACCGGCUAACUCCGUGCCAGCAGCCGCGGUAAUACGGAGGGUGCGAGCGUUAAUCGGAAUUACUGGGCGUAAAGCGCGCGUAGGCGGUCUGAUAAGCCGGUUGUGAAAGCCCCGGGCUCAACCUGGGAACGGCAUCCGGAACUGUCAGGCUAGAGUGCAGGAGAGGAAGGUAGAAUUCCCGGUGUAGCGGUGAAAUGCGUAGAGAUCGGGAGGAAUACCAGUGGCGAAGGCGGCCUUCUGGACUGACACUGACGCUGAGGUGCGAAAGCGUGGGUAGCAAACAGGAUUAGAUCCCGAGUAGUC